rnacentral:rRNA from 1 species
CGUCCUAUUAGCUAGUUGGUGAGGUAAUGGCUCACCAAGGCUACGAUGGGUAGGGGUUCUUAGUGGAAGGUCCCCCACACUGGCACUGAGAUACGGGCCAGACUCCUACGGGAGGCAGCAGUAGGGAAUAUUGGUCAAUGGGCGCAAGCCUGAACCAGCCAUGCCGCGUGCAGGAUGAAGGCUCUCUGAGUUGUAAACUGCUUUUGUACAGGAGCAAAAAAAUCCCUGCGGGGGUUCUUGAGAGUACUGUGAGAAUAAGCACCGGCUAAUUCCGUGCCAGCAGCCGCGGUAAUACGGGAGGUGCAAGCGUUAUCCGGUUUUAUUGGGUUUAAAGGGUGCGUAGGCGGCUUAUUAAGUCAGUUGUGAAAUCCUAGUGCUUAACGCUAGAACUGCGAUUGAUACUAUU